UACAGAGGGUGCAAGCGUUGUUCGGAAUUAUUGGGCGUAAAGCGCGUGUAGGCGGCUUUGCAAGUCGGGUGUGAAAGCCCUCAGCUCAACUGAGGAAGUGCACCCGAAACUGAGUAGCUAGAGUACUAAAGAGGGUCGCGGAAUUCCCGGUGUAGAGGUGAAAUUCGUAGAUAUCGGGAGGAACACCGGUGGCGAAGGCGGCGACCUGGGUAGAUACUGACGCUGAGGCGCGAAAGCGUGGGGAGCAAACAGG
rnacentral:rRNA from 1 species